UGUCCUGUGGUGUAACGGUAGCACAUCAGAUUCUGGUUCUGCGUGUCUGGGUUCGAAUCCUGGCAGGACAA
rnacentral:tRNA from 1 species